CGAACGAUGAACCCCUUCGGGGGGGAUUAGUGGCGAACGGGUGAGUAACACGUGAGUAACCUGCCCUUGACUCUGGGAUAAGCCUGGGAAACCGGGUCUAAUACCGGAUACGACCUGUCACCGCAUGGUGUGCGGGUGGAAAGAUUUAUCGGUUUUGGAUGGACUCGCGGCCUAUCAGCUGGUUGGUGGGGUAGUGGCCCACCAAGGCGACGACGGGUAGCCGGCCUGAGAGGGUGACCGGCCACACUGGGACUGAGACACGGCCCAGACUCCUACGGGAGGCAGCAGUGGGGAAUAUUGCACAAUGGGCGCAAGCCUGAUGCAGCGACGCCGCGUGAGGGAUGACGGCCUUCGGGUUGUAAACCUCUUUCAGCAGGGAAGAAGCGCAAGUGACGGUACCUGCAGAAGAAGCGCCGGCUAACUACGUGCCAGCAGCCGCGGUAAUACGUAGGGCGCAAGCGUUAUCCGGAAUUAUUGGGCGUAAAGAGCUCGUAGGCGGUUUGUCGCGUCUGCUGUGAAAGCCCGGGGCUCAACCCCGGGUCUGCAGUGGGUACGGGCAGACUGGAGUGCAGUAGGGGAGACUGGAAUUCCUGGUGUAGCGGUGAAAUGCGCAGAUAUCAGGAGGAACACCGAUGGCGAAGGCAGGUCUCUGGGCUGUAACUGACGCUGAGGAGCGAAAGCAUGGGGAGCGAACAGGAUUAGAUACCCUGGUAGUCCAUGCCGUAAACGUUGGGCACUAGGUGUGGGGGACAUUCCACGUUCUCCGCGCCGUAGCUAACGCAUUAAGUGCCCCGCCUGGGGAGUAC
rnacentral:rRNA from 1 species